rnacentral:lncRNA from 1 species
GUUUAUAUAAAAUAUCAAGUUAUACCAGCUAUCCCAUGCAUGAUUUCUACAGAUGUCAUACUUGUAACACCACAGAUCGAAAUGCCAUAUGUGUGAACUGCAUUAAGAAGUGCCAUCAGGGACAUGAUGUAGAGUUUAUUAGACAUGAUAGGUAUGUUUUUCUGUGACUGUGGUGCUGGAACACUGUCUAAUCCUUGUACAUUAGCUGGUGAGCCUACACAUGAUACAGAUACACUAUAUGACUCUGCUCCACCUAUAGAAUCUAAUACAUUGCAGCACAACUGAAUUCCUUCCCUAAAGAAAAAGUCCUGCCAUUGUAACAUCAUAACUUAAAACACUUUUUUGGAAGAAGAUUUAAAAUAUUUGCCCAUGCUACAGGAAGAGACUGUAUUAAAAAUGGAUACACAAGGUCAGUUGACACUAUGAAGCUCAAGCUACCAAAAAGAAAGUGGCAAUAUAUUGACUCAGGAUCUCAAAGCUGGGUGUUUUAGCAUUACUGUGUAAAGACUUGAAGGGACAGAAGUGAAGAAAAUAAGCUGCAAUUUUGUACAGAUACCAACUUCUGAAAAGCUGGUGUUUUUACAACUAGCAUUGAAUGCAGUCCAAUUUGCAGUAGUAAUCUUCAAUAGACAAGCAGCUUUGUUGCUGCCUUUAUGGACAUGGGUACCAAUUGCUUUUGUAAUAUGGUAAAAAUGUGAGCUAGCACUUCUGCGUUCCUUUUGAUUUUUUUUUUUUAACAUGUAUUCAGAUUGAGAAAUAUGAUUUUAAUGCUUUAAUCUCAUGUAGUUUGUUUUUAAUUUCAAGCAAAAUCUUACUGUACUUGAAUGUGCCCUGUUUUGUUAGCACACCUAGACUUGCUGUAACUGUACUCAUGUCCCAGUAUGUACGUUCUUUCUAUGAAAGAGAAAACACUAAUCUUAAAUUAUAUCCAGCAAUGUUUCUGGUAUCCUUUAAGAAAAGUUAAGACUAUUAUUUCCUUCCCUUCCCUGUGCAGCAUUCAAAAUCACCCCUAGAAAAAGUGAGUGUUUUAAUGAGACUUCCUAGGAAGGGAUGCACUGUAAAACAAAAGUAUUCUUGUAACUCAGUUUUGUGAAAGGUAAAAAACUACUAUGUUUUAAGUACACUUUAGAAAGUCUCUUCAAAACAAACAGUCCUGUAUUUGAACUCUGUUCAUAGUUUUUUUUUGAACAGUUUAGACAAAACUGCUGGAAAUUAAACCAAUUUCCUGCAUUAAGCUGAGACAAGUAUAUAUACAGCCCUAUACAGUUUCAUAGCUUUUCCUCCCCCAUUUAUGUGUAUUGGUGACAGUGGGUAUAAAACAGCCUGAAAGUGUAUGCAUGUACCAUAACAUCUAGACUUAAUAUAUUGUGGAGUAUUCAAUAACCAUUAUGUAGAAGGUAGAUAAGAAUUAAAAGGGUUUAAUUUCCUAGAAAGAAAAUGGAAAAAUGGUCAUUUUUAAAAAAUAAAGUUUAUUAGAUCAU